rnacentral:rRNA from 1 species
CGCAUGUUCAGUCGUUAAAGAUGGCCUCUAUUUAUAAGCUGUCGCUAAGAGAUGUUCCCGCGUCCUAUUAGCUUGUUGGUGGGGUAACGGCCUACCAAGGCGACGAUGGGUAGCCGAACUGAGAGGUUGAUCGGCCACAUUGGGACUGAGACACGGCCCAGACUCCUACGGGAGGCAGCAGUGGGGAAUAUUGCGCAAUGGGGGAAACCCUGACGCAGCAACGCCGCGUGAGGGAAGAAGGCCUUCGGGUUGUAAACCUCUUUCAGUAGGGACGAAGCUUCCGGGGUUAAUAGCCUACGGGGUGACGGUACCUACAGAAGAAGCCCCGGCUAACUACGUG